GGUUUCGAUUUAGAAUUCCUACGCUUUACCUUUUUUAUAUAUAAUAUUGGCAAGGCGUUUGAAUUCUGAAUCCGAAUCA
rnacentral:pre_miRNA from 16 species